ACUUGUGACUGUGUUUCAUUGUAAGAUUUGUGUGUUCAUAUAAAGAGGGUCUCUGUUUUGAAAAGACAUACAUUGCCUAAUUUUGCAUUUUGCAUUUUACUUUUUUGUGUGUUCAUUAAACAAAGAGUCAACUCAUCUGCUAAAGCAGAAAGAAGUGACAAACAAAGCAAAUUUACUGAAAUCACGUUCAUUAAAAAAGGAUUAAUCUGAUCAGCUGAAACAGCAAGAACUCAGAAACAGAGGAGAUUUUCUGAAAAAUGCCUGCAAGCUUACCCUAGAUAUCAAUACUGCAAACAGAAACCUCCUGUUAUCUGAAGGAAAUCUGAAGGUGUCAUCCAGUGAGGAAGUUCAGGAUUAUCCCGACCACCCUGACAGAUUUGAUUGCCGACGCCAGAUUCUUUGCAAAGAAGGAUUAUCUGGGAGUUGCUUUUACUGGGAGGUGGAGAGAAAUGGGGCAGGAGCUGAAAUAGGAAUUGCAUAUAAGGGAAUCAGCAGAAAGACUGGAGUAAACACUGUUUUAGGGCAUAAUAAUAAGUCCUGGAAUCUGUUCUGCUCCAAUUCCAUUUACGUUGCAUGGCAUGAAAACAAAGAAACUAAAAUAACAGCAUCUUUUUGCUCCAGUAUUGGGAUGUAUCUUGACUAGUCUGCUGGCACUCUGUCAUUCUAUACUGUUUCACAGCCAAUGAUUCUCCUGCACAGGUUCAAGACCACCUUCACUGAACCAGUCUAUCCAGGAUUUUGCCUUUAUUACUCCGACUCAAGUGUAAUAAUGUGUCAUCUGACGUAGUCAGUUCAUUUACUGCCUUUACUGGCUUUCUCUCUGUGGUACUAAGUUUGACUAGUUAUUUAUGGGACAAGGUAAAGGGCAUCGAUUUCUGCAAAUAUAUCAGAGUUACUUUAAAUUACUCUGAGAACAGUAGCAAAAUAAAUACACAUAAAAUACAUCAAAGUCUUAUUAAUAAUAUUUAUAUGCAAUUUGUAACAAAUAAGUGUUUCUGUAUUGCUGUGUUAUACAAUAUGGCAAACUUAUCUUUUUAUAUAAUAUGCUACCGUGGCUGUUCGUUUGUCUGUCCAGGAUUUUAAAUCAGCUGUAGCUCGCAAACCGUUUCACGUAUUGACCUGAAAUUUGAUACACAUAUACUAUGUGAUGUGUACUAUCCGCUUUCGGGGUGAUGAUUUUUAUUACUCUUUUUAUUUUUAUUUUAUUUUAUUGUAGAAUCAACUCUCGGCAGUGCGCAGCAAGGCGGCCGUGUGGCGCGUGUGUACGUGCAAUGUUCUCAUUCCCUACCACCUUCACGGUCACUUCCCCUACCUCUUGAGGCAGAUUGAAGUGAAAAAUGAAAGAAAAUGUACUAAGUAAUUCCAACACAAAAACUAACUUAAUCAGCGAAAAGAUGCCGAUGAAAGAAGAGAAGCAGCGGGCCGCUAGAAAAGAAGAGCUGCUCAGGAAGCAGCAAGCGCAUCAACCUCUGAGUAAAUGAAGGCUAAACAUGCAGAGAGAGUGUGAAAACUAUGAAUGCUCAAGUCAAGUGUAUUCAGAGCACGUUAUCGUGCAGUACGCCGUUACUGGUGUUUUAUAAUUUGCAUAUAUUCCUAGUAUGCAUUUCAUGUAUUUUAUAUCUGCUUUUGUUGUUUCUGCUGUAACAAAACUAAAAUUAACCCGUGAUUUUGUUGUAAUACAAUACUAUUAUUUUUUCCUUUGUAACAUACAGUAUUUUCUUUUAAUUUUGACAGUUUAUUUUGCAAAUAUUUUCAGGAAAGUAAUAAAGUACUAACUGAUUCAAAUGUCACAUGAUCUGAAGCUGAACAAAAAGAAAGAUGUGUUUGUUGUUGUAUUGAAAUCUGGCAUUUUGCGGGGAUUUUGUGGGGAUUGUGUCCCUUCGACUAUGACCAUAAUAAACUAGUUUUAGAAUGGAUGGAGAGAAAGUUUG